rnacentral:rRNA from 1 species
CCUACGGGUGGCUGCAGUGGGGAAUAUUGGACAAUGGGCGAAAGCCUGAUCCAGCCAUGCCGCGUGUGUGAAGAAGGCCUUCGGGUUGUAAAGCACUUUCAGUGGGGAAGAAAGCCUUGGGGCUAAUACCCUCGAGGAAGGACAUCACCCACAGAAGAAGCACCGGCUAACUCCGUGCCAGCAGCCGCGGUAAUACGGAGGGUGCGAGCGUUAAUCGGAAUUACUGGGCGUAAAGCGCGCGUAGGCGGUCUGAUAAGCCGGUUGUGAAAGCCCCGGGCUCAACCUGGGAACGGCAUCCGGAACUGUCAGGCUAGAGUGCAGGAGAGGAAGGUAGAAUUCCCGGUGUAGCGGUGAAAUGCGUAGAGAUCGGGAGGAAUACCAGUGGCGAAGGCGGCCUUAUGGACUGACACUGACGCUGAGGUGCGAAAGCGUGGGUAGCAAACAGGAUUAGAUACCCCAGUAGUC